rnacentral:lncRNA from 1 species
ACAAAAAAGGUUGUACUGUCAAAGAACAGUGACAGAAUGAGCAUCGAUGGUGAAGUAGAAUCUGAAAUAGACAAAGCAAGAUACUCACUGUAUGAUGAUGUGGCUGAUGAUUACUGUUCUCCAUAAGAAAUAUUGGAGGCUUUAAGGAACUUCUGUUUUCACUAGGACUUUGUUUGAUUGUAUUGUUAAAAAAUGAUGGAUCCAUAGACGUGCCAGCACUUCCUAACUCAUGGUUCACUGCAACCUUGGGUAAUGUUGAUGUUUGUGGAAGAUCUCUUCUUCUGCGUAAAUGAGCUGAUCUUUGUGGUACGUUUCCAUCAGCAAUUAAAUCUUGAUCCAUGGAAGUAAAAUUUUGUCUCAUGCCAAAACACUGGGCAAGAUCAAAUGCUGGCAUAAACUGCAUUCCAUCUACAACAACAAGAAGGGUAAUUAGUACAAUUAGUACAAGGUGCACCAAUAUUCACAUUUGAAACCAUAUGUUUAUAAUAUAUGCAACUGAAUACCAUGCAGUUUACUUAAAUGUUAGUAGGAUGUCAAAUGUUUUGGAAGCCAGAAACCAUGCAGAAGUGGGCACACAAUGACUAGGCACUGAGCAUACUGACAAAGGAUUUUGAGAGUUAGCACUGCAAAUCCCAGUCUAAAAGCCUCUUUAAUAAACAUAGAUAUAGAUGUCUAAAAAGCUAAGAACCAAUACAUCUCACUUGCAUCAAAUAAGAGUAAAUGAUUGACCUGUUAUACUUACCAUAAAGAGUAGUAUUCUGCAAGUGACCCCCCUCAAAAUGUGGCAAGUUGGCAACUGUCAACUGGGGUCCAUCGGUGAUAUUUUGUCUGCAGGAGUCACAAGAACAUAUUAACCACCUUAUGAUAAUAGUGUCUGUAUGAUUAGGUUAGCACUUAGCAGAAAGCUUCUACCAGAUUCACAGACAUUGUUACUGUCAGAGCAAUCAAAUACAUUCCAGCUUGCAGAACAUAAUUGCUAGUUUGGUCAGAAAGAGGACCUGAAGUUUAAAUAAGUUACAGCCCAAGAUAGCAAAUUGGAUUUCAAGAAAUCAAAUGUGCCUUCUUUGAAUGGAUCUUUCAAGUAAAUGAUGAUCAAAGCACAAACCAAACUGACAAGAAAAACAGCUAGCAUGGCAAUGACAAGGAGUGCUCCAUAAUAAUAAUGACAAUGAUAAAAGCUACUGUAGUGAAUGCGAAACUUCUAUUUCUGGAUAUCAAUUUGUUUCAAUUUUAUGUCUAGACACUUGAACAAUAAAAAAUAGGAAAACAAAGGUCGUGUCUCUGAACUUAAAGGAAAUCUCUACAUUUCAGUACCAAGUUAUUUGUGUCAACCAAGCCUUUAAGAAGUUAGCAACUAACAGUGAUAAUGAUAUGGUUGUCUUUUUUACCCCAAAACACAGCAGGGAAGAAGGAACGAAAAAAAAUACGGCCAGCCAGAGAGCACGAGGAUCUGCACCCCACAGAAGCAAAAGAAACUAGGAGAGGGAAUCUAAAAAAAGGGAUAAAAGCAUGCCAUUUUUUCACAAAGUCUAAAAGCUUGAAGUUUGGCUUCUCGUAAAAGGAGGUUUUCCAGGAGAUAAAGGAGGGACGUCCUACGUCGAAGAUGAAGUUAUUUCCUGGCUUCCAAAUAUGUCAAGAGGCAAUGAUGAAGGUCUCCAUGAUAGGACACAAUUGUAGGUGUUGCCUUCUAAUUUGUGUUUUUUUCCUUUUGAGAAUGUUUCUUGUAUUUUAGCCUACCGAUAAGAAGUAGCCAAGCAAAAACUCUAAGUUUGUUGGAACAUUUAGUCCCCCAAAUCCAGAUAAAAGGAGUUGGGGCUGCACAUUUUUGAAGGGAAAAUUGUAGAACUUUGUUGAUGUAUAGUUUCUGCUUCCCCAAAUAUAAUGGCAGGAGUCUUUAGUAUAUGGCUGCACUUGAAGUGUCUGAAUGUAAUCUUGAAGGGCUUGACAAUCUUGAUAAGCUUGCUCUGAUAAGGGGAGAUGGAACUGAGAUUCAAUGUUGUUGUUCAAUGAUAUGGUUGUCAUCGCCACUAGGCUGUUAAUCAUCACUAACAGUGGAGGAUUGGUGUUGGAUUUGCAGAUAGGCCACUUUAAAUAGGUUGUCUUCCGGAAACCCUAAAUCCCCCACUUGGCACUUGCAAUCUGACUCAUCCCAUUAUAGAAUCCCCACUGUGGGCAAGAUUUACCCACUAAAGCAAGCAGAUAAGGCAACCAAUUGAACGUUUUACAUGGAUCAGAUCCACGGAAAGCUCUCUCAAGUUGAUAAAAUUGUAAUAUGACGCGAGUGUAAACACAUCACAACAGAUAUUCUGAAUUUAGUUUGAACCCUAAAUGCGCAUCUCAAACUACAUCCCUUGUUCCCCACCCUUGCCCAUAACCAGUUUUCCCGGGCCGAUGCGGCUGAGUAACUGGGAUCAAGGAACACAUUACCCUACUUGUGAAGGAAGGGACAAGGUUGUUCCUGCGUUCCCAGAAUGGAGGCGAUUUUCCCAGGAGGCAGAACACAGAACGAUCCAGUUUCUGGCGACUACGCACACACCCCAAAUCUGACCAGAAAACAAGAUUAUGCUUAGAUCUAUACCUCAAGAUGCACUGAUUUGCAGAUCUACAACUUCCCUGUUGUUCGAAGCAGGAUGGCGGCACUGAUUAGGAACAGGAGCGGAGAGGGUGGAAUAGUUAGGGGGGCUGUGUAAUUCUUAGGGUUUUCUUUCUCUCAAGGAGACAGGCAUAGGGUAUAUAUAGAGGGGAAAGCCGGUGUAUAGACUUGGUCUACCAGCUCAAUAUAAAGCAAGAAAAUUGCCUUAAUUAAAUAAAUAUUUUAUUCGCAAAAUCCACGUCACCGUUCAAGCAAGUAUAUCUGAUGAGGCCCACCAAAUUCUCCAGAGUUACACUGGUUAUACCAUUUUAGUCUGGGGGUGAUGAAACCCCUGUCACCAGUCCAGGUUUGAAGGCUGGUACAGACUUCUUUAGAACAAAAUCAGGGGAACAUAUCUGGUGCAAACCAACCCUUCUGUGCAACCGUGCAAACUUCUAAUCUGGGUCACAUGAUGUUGAUCCAAGGGGACGCACGGGAGUGGAUAAGUUUGCACUUAACCGCCCGCUCCUAAUCACACUUUUGUAAAUAUCCCCUCUCACUCCCCCCGCGCGUCCCCUUGGAGGCUUGGAUCAACAUCAUGUGGCCCGGAUUAAAAGUUUGCACGGUUACGCAGAGGGGUUGGUUUGCACCAGAUAUGUUCCCCAAAAUCAGGGAGGAAAUCUUCACUUGGGCAAGUUUUUUUAAAAAAAAACUGAUAAGAGAUGGUUGUGUGCAAGAAAUAAAUUAUAAGGACCUGAUUGAAUAACUUGGGUGUAUGGACACCUUUAGAACAAAAUUAUGAUGUUAGAACACCUGGUUGAACAAUCAUGUCACAAUGACACCACGUUAAAGUUCUCUCUGUGCAAGUGCAACAGAACUAAGCUGUCUUUCACUAAGGACCCAAAUGAGAUGUAACAAUUUGAUCAAGAAUUUUACACAAAAAGCACAUGUCCAAGGGUUAACAGCACUAAUGUUGAUGUUGAAACAAGAAACAACAAUACUACUGUCUUAGAACCACCAAGUGAUAACAAAUUAACAAUACAUGACUAUGCCAUUGUUCUAACCUGUGAAUUUGAUCCAAUCUCCAAAAUAACGGAUGGUAUCCUUUGAUGUUGAUAAAUUAAAAUAGAAAAGGAAUAGGAAGAAGGAUCCAUCACUCAUGCAACAUGCUAUUAGAAAAAGUGAAAUGUGGGACCUAUCUGUGUGGCCUAAAUUCAAUGGCGUGCUGGCCCAUCCAUUGGUAAGCACAUAGGAGGUACUUGAUCGCACCAAAUUCCAGCUCAUAAAAAGACCAUGAGACAAUAACUGCAAGGGUUGGGACCUUCCAAAACUAGAAUGCAGAACAUAAAAAAAUCAGACAUGAAUAGGUUCAAAAAGUUCAGGAUGCAUUUGUGUUUAUGGAAAAAAGACAAUCAAGAAAAUAGAAGUUUUCUGUACCACCUAACUGGCACAGUUAAAAAUACCAAAAUUGUAAACAGCAAGUGUUUGUACCAUAUUUUGAGCAACUACCCACUUGAUUUUGAUUCAGCUAUAAUAGUAAGUGUUUGUACGUACAUGUUAGUUCCACUCUCCGAAAGGGCAUCUAGCUGAGUUGGUUAGGUGGCCUGAGAAGCACUCCUCAGAUCCUCUAGUCCUGAGUUUGAAUCCCAGUGGGAGCAAAUUUCAGGCUGAGGUUAAAAAAAAUCACUCACUGGUUCCCCUGGUUGUGUGCACAUGAUAUAGACUGACCUAUGGGGGGCGGAUCCUCGUGUAGGGGUUGUGAGAGCUCAAAACACGAGUAAAGGUCUAGCCUAUAGGGAGCAGACCCUCAUGUUGCACGAGGAGGGGGGCAGCUUUCAUGACAUUUCUCGGUCGAGGCUCUGAUUGAGCUUCUUCUUAAUAUAAUAAUGUGGGGGCGGUCUUUCCCCUACCAGCCGAGUUUUUUUUAGUUCCACUCCCGUGGCUUAUUGUGUUUUGCUUAUCAGAACAGAACAUUCCAGCACUGGGUCAUUCCAGUAAUUGAGUGUACUAUUCUGGAGUAUUGUUGCCAUGGACCGAGAUGGGGAUAGCUGUCUUCUCCGGCGAGGUUAUACCCCUCUGCCGCAGGCUUGGCUCUAGGGUAGCAGCCCUAGGCGCUUGAGAGUCAUUGCAAGAGAAGGAGAUUGGUUUGAUAAUAUAUUCCUUAUUCCUUUGUCUCCUGCGUACAGGCCUAUAUAUAGGCCACCGGUUGACCAACUAGGUAACCACUAAUUAGGCAAGUGACUAAUUGGAAUUAUCUCCCCUACAAUUUAGGUCUAUCAAUUUAGCCACCAAAUCAGUCACUUUCCUUUGCCAUGCCUUCCUUGCGCGCGCUGCUGCCAGCGCCCCCUGCGGCCUCUCGCUUUUGGCGGGCAUAGGUGCGGCCCCACAUGAGUGACCGCUUCCUAUGAUGCCCAUGACAUCUCCCCCUCCCUUGAGGACCAGCUCGUCCUCGAGCUGCCAUAGACUUACCUGACACGACUUAAGGUUAAGCCUUUUACAUCUCGGCUUACCUUUAUUAUUUAAGACGAAAAUACAAAAUAAUUGUGGAACUAAAAUAUAAAUUUGAACUGCAGCUAUGUCCUCCUGUCCUCCUGGAUCCCAAGGAAAGAGCUGAACUGCGACCUUCACGUUGGAUGAAAGGUGGAGGAGGAACCAGCCCGUUCUUAUGUUAUGUUGGGUCUGUCCAGCACCAAGGCAGGUGCCCGAAUGAAGGAGACGACCCUCUUUGGCCGUGCAGGGGGGCUGCAUACCCAGAUCUCGACUUCUGCAGGGGGUUCAAAAAGUAUAGACGAGACCUGGUGGUUGGGCGCGCAGGCUACGAGUUGGUGCAGCGAUGAGCUGAUCAGCAAGUGCAGCUUCCGCACCGCCCGCCUAACAAGGAAGUCGCGCACCACGGCUUGCAGGCGCACCACGGCCUGCUCAUGCGAUGACGGCCAUGGGGUGGCCCUGGAGGCCACAGCAAGGUGCUUCUCCCCACGAAGGGACUGUACCUGGCGGUGUGCCAAGAACCCUCGCGCUGUCGUCUGAAGCCGCACCGCUGCUUGGAGUUCCUUCUCUGUCUUCUCCUUGUAGCGGUGGAACAUCACAACGAAUUGAUCCCACUGCUCUGCGAAACGACCAAAACUCUCUUCGAGCCGAGUGAAUGCAUCUGGAGUUGGAGAGGGCGGGUGGGAGGACGUUGCGGCGGCUGAUGGCGCGGCGGCUGGUGGUGGUGAGGAUAACCUGGAGCUGAUACCAGGUGCCAUGGACCUUCGGUCCAUGGGGAUAGCUGUCUUCUCCGGCGAGGUUAUACCCCUCUACCGCAGGCUUGGUUCUAGGGUAGCAGCCCUAGGCGCUUGAGAGUCAUUGCAAGAGAAGGAGAUUGGUUUGAUAAUAUAUUCUUUAUUCCUUUGUCUCCUGCGUACAAGCCUAUAUAUAGGCCACCGGUUGACCAACUAGGCAACCACUAAUUAGGCAAGUGACUAAUUGGAAUUAUCUCCCCUACAAUUUAGGUCUAUCAAUUUAGCCACCAAAUCAGUCACUUUCCUUUGCCAUGCCUUCCUUGCGCGCGCUGCUGCCAGCGCCCCCUGCGGCCUCUCGCUUUUGGCGCGCAUAGGUGCGGCCCCACAUGAGUGACCAGUCCCUAUGAUGCCGGCUGGUGGUGGUGAGGGAUGGGCGGCUGGUGGUGGUGAGGAUAACUUGGCUCUGAUACCAGGUGCUUCGGUCCAUGGGGAUAGCUGUCUUCUCCGCGAGGUUAUACCCCUCUGCCGCAGGCUUGGUUCUAGGGUAGCAACCCUAGGCGCUUGAGAGUCAUUGCAAGAGAAGGAGAUUGGUUUGAUAAUAUAUUCCUUAUUCCUUUGUCUCCUGCGUACAGGCCUAUAUAUAGGCCACCAGUUGACCAACUAGGCAACCACUAAUUAGGCAAGUGACUAAUUAGAAUUAUCUCCCCUACAAUUUAGGUCUAUCAAUUUAGCCACCAAAUCAGUCACUUUCCUUUGUCGUGCCUUCCUUGCGCGCGCUUUCCUUUGCCAUGCCUUCCUUGCGCGCUGCUGCCAGCGCCCGCUGCGGCCUCUCGCUUUUGGCGCGCAUAGGUGCGGCCCCACAUGAGUGACCGCUCCCUAUGAUGCCCAUGACAAUUGUAAAAUGAAAAUGAUAUGUUAUACCACACCAGUGUAUUGUAAAAUGGUAAAUAAUUUCACAAUAUAUUGUAUGAACGAAAUCCACAAAUUACUCACAUGUAUAGUAUUCAAGUGACACUAUACAUUUUAGAAAAAAUCUUGAUAUGGAAAGUAGGCAUCCAAGAUCCUUUGCAGGAGACAUAAUUGCUCAUGUUAACUAAUAUGGGACGAAAUAGAGAACUUCAAAUGUAAUAGAGGAUGAAAGUGGAACUACAAAACAAUGGACACAGUGGCAGAUCUAGAAACAUAUGCUACAAGGGGCUCAUACUCCUUAUUUUCUACAUUUAGUCCCUCCUAAGCUUCAAUGAUUACAAACUUGUAGGAAGCUUAGGAGAGGGUUCUAUACUUACGGCGACAGUAGGAGGGGGUCGAGCCUCAGCCGACUUGGUGCUAGUUCCACCCUUGAAUGGAAAGGAACUUAACAGCUAAAGGGGCUUUAGUAUUGUGGCCUUCGUGUGAACAUUUCAUGGCGCACAUCAUGACAACUGGCAAAGGAUUUAUCUUACAAAAUAUUAGUGUUCCAUUGUCUACAGACAACAAUUAUGGAGCAACCUUAGUGAAAAGGGUCAAAAGAAAUACUCAAGCACCAGUUUCCUAACUAGUUUUCAUACAAGUUUUUGAAAUGUCUAUAUGGUUCUUUACUACUUAGUCACACUAGAGUGCCGGUGACCCACAUGGCCUCUAGUGUCAUCGUUGGCUCUAGUGUAGACAUGCAAAAUAAUGGCAUAAAGGCCAUGAUUGUUCUAUGGUAAGCUUAGCUCAAGUUCAAAAGAAACUGAUAGCUAUCCCUUAAGAUUCAUUAGGCUUGUUUAAUGCAUGGAGACUUCGGAGAAAGGUUGAUAGUCCCUUAACCAAAAUGGGAUGACCUACAUUUAUGUCACAAAGAUCGGCAUCAUCAUCAAGUCACAAUGAUCUUCGUAGCAUAGGUCAUUCUUAAUCUUCUACCGCACUACACCACAAUGUAUCUCGCUACAAACUUACUUUGACAUGAUAAUUACAACUUUGUGGCAAUUGCAAAGGGGAUUCAACUUUGGGCCACAUUAGGUAAGCCUCAACAUGGCAGGUUUUACGACCUCAUCCAUCCUUAGACCUUAGUCCACUUGUUAUAGAAGUUGACAUCUUUACUUACUACGAGAAGCUUGAAUAUCCCAACUAUGGUGGCAAAGACAACUUAACGAAUUCAAUUGACCCAAAUAUAAGUAUUUUUCCAACGAUAGACAAAGGAAGGCAACAAGGUCCUCUUUGUUGCAUACACAUAUUGUCGGCAAUACCCAACAGUGGUACAUUAAAUAGGGAAUUGUGUGUAUACUCUCGAAAGUGUGGUUUGGUAUAGAACACAACGCACUUGUCAAUUGUUUUGUCACACCAUGAAAAUGUGGAUUUGUCUACAACACAUGACACAAAUUAAAAAUAUUUCUACCCGUGAGAGAGAGCUAGGUCAUACCACCUAUCGAAUUAUACCAUUAGAGCAGUGCGCUCGAGGUCUCCCUUUGUCUGUCCAUGUUCGAAUCCUACUACAACUUAUUGCAAUGACCAGGGGUGUCAACACUAUGUGGUUUGAGUUUUUUAGGUUGGUUGUUAAUUAACAUUAUGCCCUUAAAGGCAAAUUACUAGCAAUUCAUCGAUGUUAGAUCUCUCAAUGAAGCACAACGACACAAUGUCCCGGAUGCGUUAGUUGGGCUAGUCUUUUCCAUGGAAACGCCACCCCUCUCCCUAUCAACCUCCCUCUCCUUGGCCAACGACGAUGGCAUGAGCAAUUUGAAGCCAAAGAUGUUGACCACCGGAUCCAUGAGCAAUCCACAAAAAAAUAAGUUGAAUCAGUGUGAGUCAUACAAGGGAGCGCCCAUGGUAGCCUUGGAGCUUUCACAGUCACAAUGGUCUUGUCAUGUGAUGGAUUUUGUUCUCUAUAUGAGGUCAAAUAGGUCGCCGAGACGCCGACAGGCGAUAGCAAGGAGCAAAAAGUGCAAUGGUAGAGGCAAGGAACGUGUUUCUUUUGUCAAAGUUGACCAUGGAGAUCAAGAGGGUGAGAAGGCGUGCAAGAGUAGGAAGAAUGCAGGAUUUGUAUAUUACUGGAGUCCACCGGCCAGGGAUAGGCUCUGCCUCCUCGAGCCGCUCUCCACAAGAGGUUGUGCCUAGUAGGAUCACCGUGUUAGGGCCACCUACCAUGUGGGGUGGCACAACAAUCGGCAAGGUGACGGAGCACAUGGUGGCCUAAGGGCAGGAAAAGAUGUCUUAUGGGCGGUAUCAAGGUGGGUCAGAGAUUUGACCCCCUUAGGCACUUAGCUAGACUCAAACAAAAUUGAACCAUGAUGGUUUAUUAAGUUGAGUUCCAUGUUUUGAUAUACAAGGCUAAACGCGCAAGUGUUCAAGUAGAGAUAUCCAUCACAAGGCUAACGUAUAGAGACAUCAAGCUUCAAUGUCCUCAAUUUACAUAUGAACAUGAAUUCUGCUCAUUUGCUCAAACAUAUAAACAAUGUGUUUAUUCACUAGCUCACUAGCUUCACCAACUACAACAAAUAGACAGUUGGCAAGUUCGCAACAAGCAAAUCAUAUAGGUGUUGCAAUAGAUGAAAAGGAAGCUAGUUGAAGUGCAUGAGAAACCAACACAUGUUGCAUUCUUGAUCUCCCAUAUAGUGAAGCCAACACAAGGUUGUGUUUCUUUGAUCUCCCAUAUAGUGUAAAGCUAGGUACAAUCACAUAAAUAACUUUACAUUCACAAGAGAUAUACUGGGCAUGUUACGAUACGAAGAGAUUUUGAUCUCCAAGGAAUUAGGUGCACGCAUAGGACAUGCAUUGGCAUGUUUGGUUGUGUAAGGAUACAUUAAUGCUUACGUGCAGUCGCAUCACAACGUCUACAUAUUGAUUGUCAUGGCAUGCAGUCGCAUCAACAAGAUCAAAAAAGUGAUUGCCAAAGAAGUCGAGAGUGGCAAUCGUUGUCCUCUAAAAAAGAUAUUGACGAAUUGAGACAACGUAAGGGCAUGCCAAACAAAAGAAAUCUUGUUGCAUAUGGUUCUAUUUCGAUGAAAUUGUGUUUAGGUUGGCAAACAUGUAAAUAGCACAAUGAUAUUGUAGACGAUGAUAGUAACCUUCAAGAGAGGAUGGUUGACUUCAUGAAGAAGCUAUGACACCUGCUUCAACGAUGCUUUGGGAAACGUGGUAGGACACCUCCACAACUGGGUCAACAAGUCAUUUGAGUUUAGAGCGCUACAACACUAAGUUGUCUCUAAGGUAGAGACAAUAUCCAAGUCAUUGCAUCCAAUCAUGACCAAUAAAGAAGUGGUCCAUAUAUUGAAAGAAAGGGUGCCCUAGAUUCUUCGAAAAGCAACUUUCACCAACAUGACAAUCAUGAGGAUCCUUCGUAUGCAAUAGAUCAAUCAUACAAGAACAUACAAUGCCAAUGAGGCACUAAAAUCCUUUGAUAGGUAGUCCACCAUCCUAUGGAAAGAGUUAUUGUUGUUGCAUAAAGAGCACCCUUAUGAAUUCUCAUCACUAAGAAAGGCAUUCUUUACUUCAACAGAGAGGCAGUGGGCAUAAGAGAGUGGAUAGUGGUUAUGUACAUUCUUUACUUCAAUUGAAUGGUGAGGAGCAUAAGAGUGUGAAUAGUAGUUAUGUACACAACUAGGGCAAAGGCCUCAUCGUUUGCCACAACCAUAGCUCCACUAAAACCAAGAGCCAAAGCAACUUGCAACAGAGCUAGGUGAGAUUUUGCAAACACGGAAUAUAAUAAGCUAAGAAAAACAUGCACACCAUAGAUUAGCAGCAUUGAAAGAAGGUCCAAGUAUGGCGUCUCAAAAUCAAGGCCAAAGCAUAGGAGGGGGCAGAGUGCAUACGAUGCAAUAGCCCCGGAGUCGACACCCAACGAUAAAACCUACAAGGAAUACUCACAAGCUCCUUGCAACUUGUAGUGGAGGUUCUUGUUUGUGGUGACAAUUGAAGAGAGUGCUCCAGUCCUCCCAAUGCACAAUAGCGAUGGAUGCAAGAUGGCAACACGAGGAGGCAAAUGAUACACAAGAACUCAAGCCACCGAUGACGUCCAACUUGGCAAUAUAACCUCAAGAUUGAGGUGAUGCCCCCAGCCAGAAGAGGAAUGAACCAGGGUGAGUAAAGAGUACCCUCGCCUUCACAAUCAGUUAUUAAGGCAGUAAGGCGAGCACCCCCCCCCCCCCCCUUUACCUUUUAAGCGAAAAGGCGUAAGGCGAGGCGACGCCUUAAUUAUACAUAUAAAUAUUAAAAAUAGACCGAAUAUUAUAUAUAUUACUAAUUUGAAAGUAAUAGUAAGCAAGCUAAUACAACUGUAAGGCCUAGUAGGCCUAUUUCAGCCUGGUAGAAGAGAGAAAGAAAUAAAGAAGACCACCAGCAGUCAGUAAAGCCCAGCCCAACAAUUUUAGGGUUAUCUAUCUCACAGCCACCAGCAGCUACAUCGGUACAGCCUGCAGCCCUCUCAGUCUCAGCCGCCAGCCCCUUCUCUCCCUUCCCUCUCCCUCCCCGUAGCACUCCUUGUCCCUCCCUGCAGCUCUCCUCUUUCACCCUGCGCACUGCCAUGACCUGCAUGCCGCCCUGCCGUAACCUGCUCGCUCUGCCGUGCCGCCGCUGCCUGAGAGGGAGCAGAGCAUGCGCGCCGCCGAGGACGCGCCCUGCUCGCCCUGCCGCCGUGCCCUGCCCACCGCUGCCCGUGCCCAAGGCGUCGAUCCGAUGACGCUCUGACGACGCCAGCAGACGCCUUAUACCCCCAGAGCAAGGCGAGGUAGACGCCUCACCCUCCAUGAACGCUUUAGCGCCUAGGCGACGCUUCACGGACGCCUUAAUAAGCAUGUUCACAAUGGACUCACAUAAACAAGUCAAAGACAUUGUAGUGGCUAAGGUAUAGGUUUUGAACCAAACCAACCUAUAUUGCCUAUGUUUGAUUGCGCAAAGCAACCUAUAUUGUCUAUGUUUGAUCGUCGUUGUGUUGUGGUGCCCAAGGGCUACAAGAAAGGGUACACACAAAUACAAGAAACAUCCUACACCAGAAGGAAAAUGCAAUGCUAUAAUAAUGCAAUACUGUUAGAACAGAGCAGUGGAAAAAAAUCAAAGGUAACAAACCAUUAACUCAACUGUUGCAUGGCGACUAACAAACUGCACCUCUUUAAGGCUAUAACAAUAGCAAGCACCAAAACAAACAUAAGAGCCAAACAGAACAAAUAAUAACAAGGUUCAACGGAUUAUCCCCUGUUCUGCUGUUCAGUGUUCAUCACUCUUAACAUCACCGAUUGCUUAGGCACCAGCGUUUUACAAGCAGCAGAUUACUCGGACUCAUAGCCUCUGAGACUAAGGAGUUCGAUGGCCAAGCAUAUACUAUCAAUAUAAUCAAUGAUAAUAAUGAUUAAAAAGAGCUCAAGUAACUGCCUGCGGAUGUCAUUGGCGAUGACUGUGACGGGGUCCUCUGGCGGAGCAGCGUUGAUGUCAAGCUCAACUGCACCUAGCUUCCAGCGGGUGGAGCGAGCGCCACGCCUCUCACACGCAGGGCAGAUCCAGUCCUCGUUGGCGGCGGCACGGGGCCGCCGGGCGCCAGGGGGGCCGGGUGGCGGGGGCGGGGGGAAGAGAGGCGGCCAGACGCGGACGCAGUUGGGAUGGAACCCCCUGUCACACGCGUCGCAGACCAAGGUUCCCCCCAGAAUCUCCUGGCGACCGCAGGACGAGCAGGGGGCCGGCGGGUUGCCCCAACCCGCCUCCCCAGGGUGAGGCGCCGGCGGCUGCAGAGGGAGCAGCGGCAGCCCCAGACCAGGGAGCAAGCCGGCGGGCACGUUCCCUAUGGGCCCAAAAGGUGUAUUCCUCAGUUCGAGGGGGCGGUGGACCCGAAGCACCACGUCGAGGGCCUCCUGCUGGAGCCGCACCUGUUGGUUGGGCGCACCCAGGGGCAGCUGCGGCGGCAGGAGAGGAGGAAACUGCGGCGGCGGCGGCGGAGGAGGAGGAGGAGGAGGAGCUUGGACGGGCGGAGCCAACUCCUGCGGCGGCGACGGGGCCUGCGCCGGCGGGGUGUCGCUCGACGGCGGCGGCGGGGCCUCGUUGAGGUCGAUGACGAGAUGCGGCGGCCGAUCCAUGACGGAAUGGGGAUUGAGCUCGAACUCAGGCUAGGUUAAGGGCGCUCGGCAUUGCCUCGAGGGGGAGGAGGUGGGUGGGGAGCGUGAGGGGAGAGGGGUUUUGUGGCGAGCGGCGGAACAGAGAGCAGCACGAGCAAAGCAACGCUGAGGUUAAGGAAGGGGCGCGAUUCGGACGGGAGCGCAGCCGAACCGCGCAGCGCAGGUCCAUGCGCCCGGAUGAAACGGAAGGGAAAGGAGAAAGGACAGUGCGUGCCUGGAGUGGCAAGCCUGGUGCGUGUUCGGGACAGCGCAGCGGAUGCUAUGAGGGUUGAUGUGGGGCAGCACGUCAGUGAGUCACGCGGCGCUUUUGGCUGAACGGGAUGCGGUGACGCGGAGCAGAGGCACGCGAGGGGCAUGCCGAGGGCCGAGGGCCGGGUCCCCCGCGCGGUCCGCGGUGCCCAGUGUGUGUUUCUGGCUUUUUUUUGUCUCGGCGACUAGAGGUCCACACAGGUUUUGCACGUCAUUACGUCAAGACAAAAGGGGUUAGGCUAGGCGCUUAGGCUCCUUCGUCAUUCCGAACUUGUGAGAAAGAAAGGUCGAUUAAGUCUCCUAUAAUCUAAAUACAUCUUACUAGUAGAAAAAUGUUUAAAAUCAAGAUGUGUUUAUUUAUGUGUUUCAGUUUUUUAUUACAUGUUGUGCAACUCGUAUAAAAUAAGAUGGUUUUAAGUUGUUACUUAUAAAGGAAAACUAAAAAAUCUAUAGUCGUUUAUGUGGCAAUAUUUGUUUCAUGAUUCUACCACAAACAUACAUAAUAAUGUUGUCCGCACUCGACAACUCCAAACAUAACUGCAGUAAUAGAGCCUCUCCAACCUCAAAUGUGAAAUUGUUGCCGUUUUACUGCACAUAUGUACUGGACAAAGCCAAGGGGAUGGAUGGUGGCCCCCGCGGUGGGUGUGUUUGAUUUAUAUUGAUAAAUAUAUGUUAGUUUGUAUAGGGUUUGUUAGAAAUAUAGGCAUUUUCCGUAUUAUUUUAAUUCCAUAAAUUAACAUUAUGAUGAUGACAUAUAAAAUAUGUUUAAUCAUAGAAAUCAUUAUCUCAAAUAUAUCCAUAACAAUAUGGAUCAAGAGAACAUGAAACAUAUGAAUCAUAUAAAUAUAAUAAGCAUAUAAACAUGGAACAUGUAUUAUUAUGGAACAACUGAAAAUAAACAGAUAGCAACAUAAACAGCAUGACUGUAAAAUUAAGACAAACAGAUUUAUCAUAUUACUAGUAUGAUCAGGCAUCAGACAUGUUAUGAUAUAAUACGACAAAACAGAUUGAAUAAAUUUACGGCUAUAAAUAAAACAGCAGGUAUGAACAUAUAUAAUUUGCAGAAUGAAAAACAGUAAGGAGAUGAAUUGAUCAUACCCUCCCAUGCGCUCCGAGGAUCUAGAUUCUUGUCCAACUUCACUUGUCAUGUCUGCAGGAGGAAGACUUUGGGCAGUCGCGUAGACGCUCCCCAAAAACCUAAUUGCCGAUCCCUCGUGCAAGGUCUCGAACGGCAAGGGCUCCGGAGGCACCUGCCCUCUCGCUUCUCUGUGCGCGCAGAGUCACGAGAUGGAAAUACUCUCACUCGGCUGCUGGACUGUGUUCUGAAAGUGUUUUUUUCUUGUGUACCGAGUGACAGAGGUGCUCCUCUAUUUAACCUCUCGCAGAGGGAAGCUGAAGGAGAAAGGUCGCCGAGUCACGCCAAGAGUCGGCCAGCUCUAGCCGAGUUAUGCCAUGAGUCGGCCAGCUCUCGCCGAGUCACGCCAUGAGUCGGCAGCUGAAGGAGAAGGGUCACUCGGCUGGCUGACCACGCCCGCCUGCCUGCCUGCCUGCCUCGCCUCGCCACGCCACGCCACGCCACGCCCGGCCCGGCCGCCGGCGGCGGCGCGCGCGCGCGUGGCACGCCCUUGUCCAUUUCUUGACUUCUCAAGUUAAGUGGAAUAAAUCCCACCAUAUAAGUCAAGGCAAAAGACCCUUGGACUUCCAAUGUGGUACUAUUGGUAUUCUCCACCAUUACACACCAUAGAGUUUAUUCAAUAAAUGGGCCAAGCCCAUAAAAGAUCCAACAGGGUUGAGGUAUAGAGUAGUUGUGGAUGCGAGAGUUUGGCUACUGUAUUUUAAAAUGUUGAUGACUAUGACGAAAUAUCCUUUUUGGAGUAGAAUAAUAGAAUGGUGAGUGUGGAUAGUCUAAAGUGUGGUUUUCUACUUUUCUUAUUGAACUCUUUAUGAAUGAUGAUUAAAUUUAGUACCAUAUUAUCAGUUGUAUACCAAUAAAUUAGUUAUUAAUAGAAGAUAAAUAAUGUAUAUACAUCUACUUGCUUGAAGAUUUUAUCAAAAGUAUCCAUUUUUUCUAAAGCUACUUUGUUAUUGAGAAGGACGCACUUUGCAUGGAAAGAGGGGAUGUUGCAGUUUCUACUAGAUACUUAUGAGUUGUACAUCAAUAAACCAAUAGCUCACGGCAGAAGAUACAAAAUAGAUGAAACACUUAUGUGAUAAAAUACUAUAAGAUCCUUGGGGACAUGAGGCUAGUAGAAAAAUAUUUAUAAUUGACAUGUGUUUAUUUGUGUGUUGUAAUUUUUAUUUAAUGUCGUGUAACUCAUUUUAAAUAGGACGGUUUUAAGUUGUUACUCACAAAGAAAAACUAAAAAAUAUGUAGUCAUUUAUGUGGCGAUAUUUGUUUCAUGAUUCUACCAAAAGAAAACAUAGUAAAGCGUAAUUUUCUUGUUAAACACUUCAUAAAUAAUGAUUAAGUUUAGUGUCAUAUUAUCAAUAGUGAGGUGUGUACCAAUAAAUUAGUUAUUAAUGGAAGUAUAGCUAAAAGAUAGAGUACAUAUCUCUACUUGAUUGAAGAUUUUCUCAAAAGCAUCCAACUUUCUCUAAAGCUACUAUACUGUUGACAAGGACGUUUUUCCAGGAAAGAGGUGUUGAUGUUUCUACCAGACACUUAUGAGUUGUAAAGCAACAAAUUAGUGACUCAAAGCAGAAGAUACAAAAUAGGUGAGUCACUUAUAUGAUGAAAUACCAUGAGAUUCAUAGAGAUCAUGAUGCUAGUAGAAAAUUUUUAUAUUCGAGGUGUGCUUAUUUUUGUGCUGCAUUUUCUAUUGGAUGUCAUGUAACUCGUAUAAAAUAGGACUAUUUUAAGUUGUUACUCAAAAAGAAAAACUAAAAAUAUGUAGUCAUUUAUGUGCCAAUAUUUGUUUCAUGGUUCUAUCAUAAGCAUACAUGGUAAAUUGUAUUUUUCUUGCUAAACACUUCAUAAAAAAUGAUUAAGUUUAGUGUCACAUUAAUAGUAGUGAGUUAUGUACCAAUAAAUUAGUUAUUAACAGGGGUAUAGCUUAAAGAUAAAUAAAGUAUAUAUCUCUACUUACUUAAAUAUUUUAUUAAAAGCAUCCAAUUUUUCUAAAGCUACUAUAUUGUUGAGAAGGACGUUUUUUGCAGGAAAGAGACGUUGCAGUUUCUACCAAACACUUAUGAGUUGUACACCAAUAAAUUAGUGACUCAAAGCAGAAGAUACAACAAGGUGAGUCACUUAUAUGAUGAAAUACCAUGAGAUCCUUAGAGAUCAUGAGGCUAUACAAAUUGAGAUCGUAGAAACAUGAGCUUGUGAUAUAGCUACACCUAAUUCCAGACCGGUUAAUGCUAGAACUAUAAAUAAGGGACCAAGAUCUCCUAAGAAAUAGAAAAUAUUAUUCAGAAAUAGCAUAGUCCAAGCAAACCCACUUAAAAUCUUUACUGAACUAUGACCGGCCAUCAUAUUAGCAAAUAAACGUAUUCCUGAGCUUAAUGCACGAAAACAAUGAGAGAUUAGCUCAAGGAGUACUAAAAAAGGUGUUAAUGGCAGUGGGACUCCCGCUGGUAAUAAGAAGCUAAAAAAAUGAAGCCCAUGUCUUUGAAAUCCAACGAUCGUAAUGCCUAUAAAAAUGGAAAAUGAAAGAGCCAAAGUAAUGAGAAAAUGACUUGUCACUGUGAAGCUAAAGGGUAUCAUACCCUGGGGAUUACGAAAUAACGAAAAAGUAAAAGUGACCGAGAUGCAAGGGAAAAACUUGUGUUUCACAUUUCCGGAAAGACCACCUAUUUGUUCGUUUACCAGGUUCGGCACGAAAUCAUAAAUAAGCUCCACCAAGGAUUGAAAUGCAUUUGGCACUGACUUUCCCCCUCCUUUUUUCGUAACAACAAAAACCAGAAGUAGGACCAAACCGAGAGUGAGUAGAAAAUGUUUAUAUUCGAGAUGUGCUUAUUUUUGUGCUACAUUUUUCUAUUGGAUGACAUAUAACUCGUAUAAAAUAGGACUAUUUUAAGUUGUUACUCACAAAGAAAAACUAAAAAUAUGU